rnacentral:lncRNA from 1 species
CCAACAUAGAGGCCAAGCUGGGCUCCAGCCCCAUCCGCACUUGAAAUCCAGCGCCUGUCCGUCACCAUCACCAAGUAAGCCUGGGCUGCUGAUUCGCCAUGACCUGAAGUAGACACCAGCCAACCCCAGGAGGCAGGCAUGGUUAUUGUCCCAUCUUGCAGAAGAGGAAAUAAAGGCUCAGGGAGAGGAAGGGUCUUUCCUGAGAUCACGCAGCAGGGCAAGGGUCAAGACGGAUCAGCCAUACGGAGGGUCCCCCUCCCACUGUCGCAGCAACAACACCCAC